CUCAGUGCCCCAGAGGCUCAGCCCCAGCGACCUUCCCACCCGCGGAUCCCUGUAGCUUUCCCCACCAGCCAUGCUCCUGCUGCUCCUGCCGGUGCUCGCGAUGGUUUUCACCCUGAGAGGAAGCGGAGCCCAGUCAGUGACCCAGCCUGACCGCCACGUCCUGGUCUCUGAAGGAGCCCCUCUGCAGCUGAGGUGCAGCUACUCAUCUUCUGUAUCACCCUAUCUCUUCUGGUACCAGCAACGCCCCAGCCAAGGCCUCCAGCUCCUCCUGAUGUACGUGUCAGGGGCCACCCUGGUGACAGGCAUCGAUGGUUUCCAGGCUGAACUUAGGAAGAAUGAAACUUCCUUCCACCUGAGGAAGCCCUCAGCCCAUUGGAGCGACUCAGCUGAGUACUUCUGUGCUCUGGGUGGCACAGUGCCUGGGGCUGCAGGGGGAACUGAGCACAAACCUCCUGACACAGGGACUUUCUGUGACACACAGGCUCAAGCUGGGGAGUUUUCAAUUUCUGUGCAGCCCAAGAUAGCAGGGUGGACUGAGCCCUUGGGAAUGUUUAUCACCUGA